UACGUAGGGGGCAAGCGUUGUCCGGAUUUACUGGGCGUAAAGAGCGCGCAGGCGGCUGGUCAAGUCCGAUGUGAAAGCUCCCGGCUUAACUGGGAAAUUGCAUCGGAAACUGAUCGGCUGGAAGGUGGGAGAGGGUAGCGGAAUUCCCGGUGUAGCGGUGAAAUGCGUAGAUAUCGGAAGGAACAUCAGUGGCGAAAGCGACUGCCUGGUCCAGCAUCGACGUUCAGGCACGAAAGCGUGGGGAGCAAACAGG
rnacentral:rRNA from 1 species